rnacentral:misc_RNA from 1 species
CAGUUUUGGCUCAGUGGAU